rnacentral:rRNA from 1 species
UACGUAGGGGGCAAGCGUUUGUCCGGAUUUAUUGGGCGUAAAGAGCGUGUAGGCGGUUUGGUAGGUCCGUUGUGAAACUCGAGGCUCAACCUCGAGACGCCGAUGGAAACCAUCAGACUAGAGUCCGGAAGAGGAGAGUGGAAUUCCUGGUGUAGCGGUGAAAUGCGCAGAUAUCAGGAAGAACACCCGUGGCUAAGGCGGCUCUCAGUACGGUACUGACGCUAGACGCGAAAGCGUGGGGAGCGAACAGG